AACGCACAUUGCGCCCGCCAGCAACCUGGCGGGCAUGCCUGCCCGAGCGUCAUUUCAACCCUCGCGCCCCCCGCGGCGCGGCCUUGGGGACCGGCCCUCACCGGCCGCCCCCCAAAUCCAGUGGCGGUCCCGCCGGCGCCUCCCCCGCGUAGUAGUCAGUCACCUCGCGGCCCGGGAGACCCGGCGCGGCACCGAGCCGUAAAACCCCCCGACCGAAGGCCCACGGGCCGAGAAGUUUGACCUCGGAUCAGGUAGGAAUACCCGCUGAACUUAA
rnacentral:misc_RNA from 1 species